AAAUUAAAAAAAGAAAAUUAGAUUUUAUCCAGUCUGACUCCAGUAGUGAAUCAUCAUGUAUUACACCAACACCAAUUAUUUUGGAUACCUAUCAUGUAGCAGAGCAGGAAAACCUCGAAGAAAACUAUGACGUUGUCUUUAAUGAUAUUGAUUUGAACGCACUGAUGGCUUCAAAUAAAGAAGUUGCUCAUGAAACUGAAAAAGAAGAUACCACUUUUCCAGAAUUGAUACCUAACGUUUUCACUUCUUGGCAAAUGAAAUCGAGAAACUCUUUCCAGGGGAAUUGAAAGACACAUAUUAUAUUCCCUCAUAUACCCCUAAAGGAGGAAAAAUUGUACAAGCAAGAAGAAAAUUAAUUGAUAAGUAUAACACCAUUGUAAGGUCACUUAGAGAGAAUGGUAUAAGGUCUCUUCGACCGGGCAAAUCCAUCAAUACAAUACCUCCUAAACAAAAUUUACCUGCAACAGAUUUUCUUCUUGAAUCUGAGAAACAUCUGACCAUUGAGAACUGCUUAGAGUUCUUGUCGACCAGGCUUUCUCCUUGGGAUCAGAUCCAAAGAUAUUGGAAACACACAUCACAUGUAAGGCUUACCAAGCUACAAUUAGGAACAACGCUGGGUUUGGACAAUACACUUAACUCAACAGCGGCGUCACAAGAAAAAGGAGGUGAGAAGGAAGAGCAACCUCAUGCUUUAAAAGUGUGCAAUUAUUUUCAAAUCUAUAAAUGCUUGAAGCAGCCUUUAGGUUAUACAUUGCUUGAAUAUGACUUUAGUGUUUUGCAUCCAGAGGCUUCUAUGCGUAUGGUUACUCAUUAGAAUGAGUUUCGGAAAAAAGUGAAGUUUCGUUGCAGAAUUUGAAAAUAAUUUAUACAUUUUUUUGCGAAACGAUAUUCGUAUGGUUG